AAUGAACGUUGGCGGCAUGGAUUGGGCAUGCAAGUCGAGCGAGAAGUGUAGCAAUACACGGAAAGCGGCGGAAGGGAGAGUAAUACGUGGGAAUCUGCCCUUAGACCUGGGAUAGCAGCGGGAAACUGCUGGUAAUACCAGAUAAUGUCUAUGGACCAAAGGUGUGAUUCCGUCUAGGGAUGAGCCCACGUCCUAUUAGCUAGUUGGUAGGGUAAUGGCCUACCAAGGCGAUGAUGGGUAGCGGGUGUGAGAGCAUGACCCGCCUCACUGGGACUGAGACACUGCCCAGACACCUACGGGUGGCUGCAGUCGAGAAUCUUCGGCAAUGGGCGCAAGCCUGACCGAGCGAUGCCGCGUGCGGGAUGAAGGCCUUCGGGUUGUAAACCGCUGUCGAAGGGGAGCAACUUCCAUAGAGUUAUCUUUAUGGAUUGAGUGAUCCCUGGAGGAAGGACGGGCUAAGUUCGUGCCAGCAGCCGCCGUAAAAC
rnacentral:rRNA from 1 species